rnacentral:rRNA from 1 species
UGGGGAAUAUUGGGCAAUGGGCGAAAGCCUGACCCAGCAACGCCGCGUGAAGGAAGAAGGCUUUCGGGUUGUAAACUUCUUUUCUCAGGGACGAAAGAAAUGACGGUACCUGAGGAAUAAGCCACGGCUAACUACGUGCCAGCAGCCGCGGUAAUACGUAGGUGGCAAGCGUUAUCCGGAUUUAUUGGGUGUAAAGGGCGUGUAGGCGGGAGUGCAAGUCAGAUGUGAAAACUAUGGGCUCAACCCAUAGCCUGCAUUUGAAACUGUACUUCUUGAGUGCUGGAGAGGCAAUCGGAACUCCGUGUGUAGCGGUGAAAUGCGUAGAUAUACGGAGGAACACCAGUGGCGAAGGCGGAUUGCUGGACAGUAACUGACGCUGAGGCGCGAAAGCGUGGGGAGCAAACAGGAUUAGAUACC